CCUACGGGAGGCAGCAGCGGGGAAUAUUGGACAAUGGGGGCAACCCUGAUCCAGCCAUGCCGCGUGUGUGAAGAAGGCCCUCGGGUUGUAAAGCACUUUCAGCGAGGAAGAACGCCUAGCGGUUAAUACCCGCUAGGAAAGACAUCACUCGCAGAAGAAGCACCGGCUAACUCCGUGCCAGCAGCCGCGGUAAUACGGAGGGUGCAAGCGUUAAUCGGAAUUACUGGGCGUAAAGCGCGCGUAGGUGGCUUGAUAAGCCGGUUGUGAAAGCCCCGGGCUCAACCUGGGAACGGCAUCCGGAACUGUCAAGCUAGAGUGCAGGAGAGGAAGGUAGAAUUCCCGGUGUAGCGGUGAAAUGCGUAGAGAUCGGGAGGAAUACCAGUGGCGAAGGCGGCCUUCUGGACUGACACUGACACUGAGGUGCGAAAGCGUGGGUAGCAAACAGGAUUAGAUACCCUGGUAGUCCACGCCGUAAACGAUGUCGACCAGCCGUUGGGUGCCUAGCGCACUUUGUGGCGAAGUUAACGCGAUAAGUCGACCGCCUGGGGAGUACGGCCGCAAGGUUAAAACUCAAAUGAAUUGACGGA
rnacentral:rRNA from 1 species